AGAUGGUUGAGCUCAGGGCACAAAUUUACGUAACCCCCGCAGUGAUGCUUUGGAGUUGGGGCAACUGACUUCCAACAACCACAACCACUUGCUUUAUGUAGAAAACAUACAAAAAAUAUCAAUGGGCGAAAAGUAGGGAGCGAAAGGGAGAAGGAAAUCCUCAAGGAAACAUUGAGGAAAACUGAGAAGACGAAGUUAACAGGUUCCCUGGACCUAAAGACUUGGAUCCCAGAUGACCCUUGUAGAGUCACGUCAAGCCAAUUUUCAAAGAAAGCACUCUGAUUCUUCCACUCAUACUUCUGGAAAAGGAAGUUGCAGAACGUCACUGACUGACUUUACUUAUUUGAAUACAGCGUAAGGUACAUAGAACAUCGAACAGUACAGGCCCUUCAGCCCACAAUGUUGUGCCGAACUUUUACCCUAAACCUCAGGUCUAUCUAACUCCACCCCUAUCUUAUAUGACCAUCCAUAUGCCUGUCUAAUAGUCACUUAAAUGCCCCGAAUGAGGCCGACUCCGCAACCCACUCCAGCUGAAACAAAGAUCUCUUUGAAUUGUCAUU